GUGUACCAAGCGUACACAUCGGCUCCGGCGCGUCGCCACACCCACCUGACGACUGCCGGCGACGUUCUGUUAGCC
rnacentral:sRNA from 2 species